rnacentral:lncRNA from 1 species
ACUUGAGGCUGUGGAAGCCGCGUGCCUGGGGCGUAGACAGGGCUUAGAUCUUUUAGAAGAAAAGAAACCGAUUGCGGUAAAUCCUCUGGACUACGCCGGGUCCUCGGAAGCUGUGCGCUAACCAAAAUCCCCGACGCUGGCAGUUGCCAUUGUUCCCCAGAGGCAUCCACACUAAUGGGACCCAAGUAUUGUGCAGCUUCAUUUUACAGUGAGGAAACUCGGUGUAUGCAGGAUAGGGAACUCUACAUGGACCACAGAAGGCAAAAGCCUGCUGCUUUCCUGUGCAGGGUGGAGUGUACUAAGUUAGCAUCCUGUGAUGUACUUGCCCCAGCCAGCAACAGCAGAGAAGCACACAGGUAACACAGCUCCUUGAAGUUGGACCCUCCAGUGUUGUGUCAUUUGCCUUUCUUUUCUCAAGGGUUGUUGAAGAACCAAGACCAGGUACAUUUCAGCAGUUUCAUGCCCAAUGGUAUCCUGAAGCAGACGUAUACAGUGAUGGCCUGAGAGUCAUCUGGCCAGUGCUCCCAGGCACUGCCUGCCAGUAGCCCCAACCACAUCUGUGCAGCACAGUCCUCAGGACCUACACCAACAUCCCUUGAAAAAAAACAACAGUGUCUUUGUGGGUUUUAGGGGUUUUUUGUUGUUUUGUUGUUUUUUACAUGAAGAGUAGUCUAAACAAAAAUUUACAAAGCUCACUGAACUUAAAAUACUCUGGAAGUGUUGAUCAGCAAGAAGGCUGUGCUUUCAAACCAAAACAUGCCACAGAUGGCACCCAAAAGCAGGCAAUCUGUGAGCCUUCAGUGUGCUGUACACUCCUGGCUGAUAUUGUUUAGGACACCUGUGAACAGAAUGAGUGCUACAGGGCAUGCUCUGGGAGAAACAGUCUCUUCAUCUUCCUUGCCUAAUGCCUCAAUAAGCCAGGGAGCCUGGUGGGCUUCCCAGUGUCAUUAGCCGUGUGGAUCAUGUGGUCUCCUGGGAUGCCUGGUUUAGGUAGCCUCAAAGUUUCCCACUCACAGCUUUCUUGGAGAAAGGACAGUGGGGCAGAUCCCACAACCACUGUCACCACUUAUAAAAAGCAUUUCCCUUAUAAAUGGGACCCACCUGCUCCCUAAGGAAUUUCUAGCACCUAAGUAGCCUAUCACAAUCCAAGUGUCUCUGCCUGCCCUGAAAUAAGCCAAGAACUCUGAUAAGCAGAACAUGCCACAACUUGGCCCAGGAGAUGAGAAACCCAGCCGGGGUGCAAGCUGCAUGCAGACUACUCACUGUACCCCAUAAAGCACCCCAGAGCAUGGAACUGCAGCAGAAAUUGAAAUCUGCGUGCACAGCUAACCUCUUCAGCAACAGAAGCUACCUGAGAGCAAAGAGAAUGGCUCUGUACAACACCCACACACUGUCCUUUGGCUUUUGGUCAGGACUCCACAGACUGUCCAGUGCACAGGCCCUUCUUGAGUGCAUGGAGCUCCCAUGAGUGUCAUCUGUGAGUUUGCCACUGCUCUACCCAUGUAACUGGAAAACUUGUAAGCCAGACACAACUUUCCAUUUCUACCAUCAAUCCUCACAGGAGGGUUUUGGUGUCUAAGUGUCUGAGGACAGCAAGUUGGGUGGGAGUCCUCUACCUGGCCUCUCUUUGAUAGAAGAGUUGCUAAGAACACCAGCUGCAGGAGACUGGAAAUGACCCAACACCAUGGGAGGAAACACAGUACUUGGUCCACACCUUGUGCAGAAGGCAGAUCUCAAACAAGAGCAAGCCAGCUUUCCAGGAACUGUUUAAGAAGCAGGCUCCAGAGCCAGCUGAAUACAGGCAGUGAAGCUGUGUGUAUACUCAGGCUGUUAAGAACAGAUGGUGGGAGCCACCUGGUAUCCUGCACUAGCCCAAAGCACAACCAGGUGCCUGCCUGAGCCCAGCUCCUCUCCCAGGAGCCUGGGAAACCACAGACAACAUAUUGUGCAUUAACCAGGCCAUGCAGAAACACCCACAGGAACCUGGCCUGGCUUCUAGGGCAGCUUCAUGAUACAGAAAGUCCCUACAUGCCUGCCUAUGUACACAUCAUACACAUGAAUAAGUAAAUAAAUGUUAUUUAUAUAAAUAGCUUUUACAGCCCAUCCUGCUGUCCUCAGACACUUGGUCACCAUAACCCCAUCUGCCUGAGACCAAUGGCAUAGAACUUACUACACAAUUCACCUAGAACUGUCUUCAGAGCAGCUGAGGGUGACCAAAGCACUUUGGAGGCACCACACAAGGACAGCUCCCUGUCACCUAGUGGAAACAAGAUGCAUUAACUGGGGACAGGCAGGCAGUGCUCAGGGACCAAGCACCAUGAGCUCCAGCAUGACAUGUGUCUCUAUACACACCAGGGUGCCAGCUAGCCUGGCUCAUGACCAACCUCAUUUGCUCCCUGUGCAGUUGGCACAUACCUGCCUCCAUAAUGUUAGUGUCAUCAGUAAGAUGUGGACACUUGUGUGAACAAGCAAGGAAAGAAAGCAGUAGAGAGGAGAGGAGAUGGGGCAGAUAGGUGGCUAUCAUCUGAAAAGCAGGUUAAGUGGGUAGAGUAAGGCCAAAAGGGAAAGCCCAAACCACAGUAAACAGAUAAAGCAGCUAGCCCUGGAGAACCCCAGUCACUGAAAAGAGCAAUCAGUUCUAAUCAGCUCUGGACAGGAGGUUCUGGCCAAUGCAAGUGGGCAAGAAAAAGACAGAAGAGGCCUUCCAAACAGGAAUGAGGAAUGAGUGCCCACACCCUGCAUUCAUGUUAGUUCUUGGGAAGCACUUAGGGCAUCUGAGCAGAGCUACAGGACAGAGCAUUUCCACCACAGGUUCACAAGCUAAAGACUCCAAGUCAAACCCCCACUGACAAAUAAAUAUGAAAGGCCCAAGAGGUGACUCAGUGAGUAAAAGUGUACACAACCAAACCAGACAACCCAAGUUUAAUCCCAUAUCCCCAGAUUGUCCCAUGACCUCCACUUAUGCACAUGCACAAAAUAAAUUAAUGUUAAAUU